rfam:Larimichthys crocea isolate SSNF unplaced genomic scaffold scaffold62, whole genome shotgun sequence.
CUUCCUGUGCAGGUGGGGAUUAGUAGCAAUGCUGUGUACCUGGAGGUAUUGCACUUGUCCCGGCCUGUGUAGGAACG